UUAAUGGAGAGUUUGAUCCUGGCUCAGGACGAACGCUGGCGGCGUGCCUAAUACAUGCAAGUCGAGCGAGGGUCUUCGGACCCUAGCGGCGGACGGGUGAGUAACACGUAGGCAACCUGCCUGUAAGACUGGGAUAACAUAGGGAAACUUAUGCUAAUACCGGAUAGGGUUUUGCUUCGCCUGAAGCGAAACGGAAAGAUGGCGCAAGCUAUCACUUACAGAUGGGCCUGCGGCGCAUUAGCUAGUUGGUGAGGUAACGGCUCACCAAGGCAACGAUGCGUAGCCGACCUGAGAGGGUGACCGGCCACACUGGGACUGAGACACGGCCCAGACUCCUACGGGAGGCAGCAGUAGGGAAUUUUCCACAAUGGACGAAAGUCUGAUG
rnacentral:rRNA from 1 species